rnacentral:rRNA from 1 species
AGUGAACGCUGGCGGUAGGCCUAACACAUGCAAGUCGAACGGCAGCACAGUAAGAGCUUGCUCUUACGGGUGGCGAGUGGCGGACGGGUGAGGAAUACAUCGGAAUCUACUUUUUCGUGGGGGAUAUCGUAGGGAAACUUACGCUAAUACCGCAUACGACCUACGGGUGAAAGCAGGGGAUCUUCGGACCUUGCGCGAUUGAAUGAGCCGAUGUCGGAUUAGCUAGUUGGCGGGGUAAAGGCCCACCAAGGCGACGAUCCGUAGCUGGUCUGAGAGGAUGAUCAGCCACACUGGAACUGAGACACGGUCCAGACUCCUACGGGAGGCAGCAGUAGGGAAUAUUGGACAAUGGGCGCAAGCCUGAUCCAGCCAUACCGCGUGGGUGAAGAAGGCCUUCGGGUUGUAAAGCCCUGUUGUUGGGAAAGAAAAGCAGCAGGUGAAUACCCCGCUGUUCUGACGGUACCCAAAGAAUAAGCACCGGCUAACUUCGUG